AUACGAAGGGGGCUAGCGUUGUUCGGAAUUACUGGGCGUAAAGCGCGCGUAGGCGGAUUGGUCAGUUAGGGGUGAAAUCCCAGGGCUUAACCCUGGAACUGCCUCUAAUACUGCCAGUCUUGAGUUCGGGAGAGGUGAGUGGAAUUCCUAGUGUAGAGGUGAAAUUCGUAGAUAUUAAGAAGAACACCAGUGGCGAAGGCGGCUCACUGGCCCGAUACUGACGCUGAGGCGCGAAAGCGUGGGGAGCAAACAGGAUUAGAUACCCUAGUAGUCC
rnacentral:rRNA from 1 species